ensembl:lncRNA
UUUCUAGUAAAUCGCUUCAAUGUGGUCAUUUGCAUGAUAGUGGAACUUUACAUUUGCCCCUCUGUUCCUCCACAUGUUCCGUUGGAAUAUCUACUGUUUCUUCAAGUUGUACUAUUGGUCUUUCUCAUCUUCUCUGGCUCAGCUUCUUCUCUCCCUCUGCCACUUAUUUGUCCUUCUUUCUUUCAUCUCCUCGUGUGUGGACAUGCUUCAUUCUACAGUUACCCCAUUUGCUGCAAGUGAUAACAGCAUUACAUUUGUUUUGUUAUGCAAAAAAACAUUGUUCAUUGUAUGGGAAUGAUAAUGCAGAAAUAACGCGCAUUACAGUUGGCUACAUGAUUUUGUUUAUCUGAUUUAAAAAAUAUUUUUUAAAUCCCGUCAUUUGGUGGUAUUUUAAGUAGACAAUCUAUUUCAGUAUGUAAGCAGAGGCACUUUGAGGAGAACCAGCUAAAACGCGUCAGUUAAAUUCGUGCGGCAAACCUCGGUGUGGUCAGCAGCGACGGAAGAUGUAACUUUAUGUUUCAAAUUGGGGUUUAUACGGAUACAUUUCGGGUCUAGACGCGUUAUCCAUCGCAGCGCUUCAAGUUCGGAAAAUAUUACCAAGAAACAGAAGUACAUUUAUUUUGACUACUAACGUUAAUAUCGCUAUGUUCUCUCUCACUUCAAAUAUAUGUGUUUGUGUAAUCCGCCUGCGGUUGUGUAGUUUUUUUUUUAUCGUACCAGGACGAUGCGCACAACCCAUGAAGAUUUAAAAUAAUUGAGGACUUUAUAAAGAUGACCACAGAACGUGUAUGUGUUUCCAUUGGAGUGCUGCUGUUUGCCUUUUUGUCUUUCUCCAUUGUUCAAGGUCACACCACCAACCGGCCGAGUAUGAACCCAGCGGAGGGCAGUGGAGCUGGUUUCAACGUGGGCGGUCUGAAGUCUGUCCUGCAGAACGCCGUGUCCCCAGCCUUCGGCGCCACCAUCAUCAUCAUCAUCACUGUUAUCGUGUCAGGGAGCGCCUACCUCUGUUUCCUCAAGUACAUCUGUGCAGGCUGCUGCAAACCCACACAGGUGGCCCCGGUCACACAACUAGACCCAAACAAGAGUGAGGAGCAGGUGUAGCGGAGUCUGUCAAGUUUCAAGUUUUUAUUGUCACGUGUACUAGUACAAUGAAAUUCCUUUCUUGCUUGUUCUUUUCCAACAAUGCAGUAAUCAAUAUCAGUAAUACUAUAAAAUGAAUUUUAAAAAGUUAAGUGGAACAAAAUCACAAAAUAAGAACACAAGAAAGUAAGUAAGCUAUAUACAGGGUCAGUUCCAGAGUUAGUGCCAAUACUAUUGACAAUGUGUAGGGCAGUGGCUACGCAUCAUUCAGGGCAGAGACCCAACUGUUUGGAGGCACCCCAUUUUUUUGCCUGUUUUGCAUGUUAUUUUGGCAUUAAUAAGUGUCACAUAUCAGUUUGCAAACAAUGUAAAACAUAAAUAAUCAUUGAGUUAAUAAAGCCGC